UACGUAGGUGGCAAGCGUUGUUCGGAAUUACUGGGCGUAAAGGGCUCGUAGGUGGCCAACUAAGUCAGACGUGAAAUCCCUCGGCUUAACCGGGGAACUGCGUCUGAUACUGGAUGGCUUGAGUUUGGGAGAGGGACGCGGAAUUCCAGGUGUAGCGGUGAAAUGCGUAGAUAUCUGGAGGAACACCGGUGGCGAAGGCGGCGUCCUGGACCAACACUGACACUGAUGAGCGAAAGCCAGGGGAGCAAACGGG
rnacentral:rRNA from 1 species